rnacentral:precursor_RNA from 1 species
AUAGGGAUCCCUUGAAAAUAUGGGCAUGCGUAAUCUGGAUGGAUGUGCACAUUUCAAGGAGAAAAAAAAGGAGAGAGAGAGAGAGGAGCUGAGGAUAUGUUCGAUGCUGCAACCUGCGGCCGUUUCUGUCAUGGAAGAAAAGCUUUGGAUCCACCAGCUCGUUUCUGUACUUGGACAGUAUAAAUAGCCGAAGGGCACGCAGAGCGUUGCAUCCAAUCCAAGGCCACAGAUUUGUGUGUGUGCAGUGUGCUAGAGAGUGGCGAUAAGAGUCUGUCCAGAUAGCCAAGGAUGACUUGCCUGUGGCUUCUUGGCUUGGCUUGGCUCGGGCAAAACCUUGUGCACGUUUUAUUGCUCGCCUCGUGGCCUCGAUCACAGGCAGUCUCCUUGGCUAGUCCGGGCGGGCCCCUUAUCUGAAACCGAUCCCUGGUUCAUUCAUAUAUCGGUGAGCGUGCGACCGAGGGAAAGCAUAUAUGCGGUGCAGGUGCAGGUGCAGGCGUGACAGCUACUAGCUCUGGGCAGAGGACUGGCCUGGCAUGGCGAUGGAAGCUCUGCUUCGGUAGCCAAGGAUGAGCUGCCUGUGGCCUCCUGCUGCGGACGUUGCGUGGCCCCGCCUCCACCGCGUGCGGUCCCCGCAGGCAGCCUCCUUGGCUAGUCUGAGCGGCUUCCAUCCUCCAUGCUAGGCUCAUCUCCUCUUCAGUUAAUCUGUAAAUGCAGCAGCUUUGCUUUAAAGUCGUGGCACGUCAUCAGAAGCAGUGCAUCACACGUUGUUUAAUUUAUCCAAUCUUCCUAAAUGCAUGUAAUGUAACUCGGUCGGUAUAUAGUUUCACUUGGCUUGGUGUGCAGCAGAAGCAUAUCAAGGUCGAGCGGUGGAUGGAUGAAGCUAACCUAGGAUGGACGGAUGGACCUGACGAGAUGCAGCUAGCAGUGUAUCCCGCGCUUUCGAUCGGUCGACCAUACCAUCCGGUGCAAUGGGGCUGAGGUUUCUUGUCCAAGGACAACUAUUUCCCCUUGUUCUGUUCAUUUCUUUCAGCUGCAGCCUGCAGUAGGCAGAGUUGUCAAGAUAGAUAGCACGUUAUGAAAUGCAGUGAGUGACACUGUUACCUUCCAUUCAGGAGGGAGAAAAAGGUAAGGCUCAUAAAAUGCAGGGAACUGCUUGCUGCUGCACCUUGUGAUUAUAUAACAACCGAAGA